GGUAUAUAUGAUCAAUUUAAUAAUAGGUAGAUAUCGAAGCGUUGAAGAGUUCAUUAAAUUAUUUUUCAUAUGUCAAACGGUUUCGAAAUGUUGUCUAGUGAUGUGGAGCAACAAUACAGCACAGAUGGAACUAAAAAUGGGAGUGCUGGUAAAAGAAAAAAGCUUUACGUUGGUCUUGGUAUUGGGGUAUUAAUUCUCAUAGGUAUUGGAGUAUAUAUGUAUACUAGUAGUAGCACUAGUAGCUCAUCAGGAACAACACCAACACAAGUUCAUUUGAAACUCUCUGUGCAAUGGCCACCUUCAUUUUGCGCGUCAUUCGCGAAUCAAAAAAGAUCUAAAAUUGCUGAUGUGUGUCGUGCAUUGUCAUCAGAUGAAAAAUGGAUAAUACAUGGACUUUGGCCGAGUUGGGAGACGAAACUGCAAUCUUCAUCACAAUUCAGCGAACGCGAUCUACAGGGUGUUCCAGAAUAACCUUUCACAUUUUGGUAACCACUGAUCUGUGUUCAAGUGGAGCUAGGGGAAUGGUAAAGGCGGUUCUAGGUAGCCAAAGCAUGCCGAAUUAUGUUUCAAUAGUUAUUUUUUGCCCUGGAGAAGUAGAUGGCUGUACAGUGUGCUUUUACUGUGAAGGCCUUUUUUAAAAAUAAAGGUUCCUGUAACUCUUUACUCCUUAUUCAUCAGUAACGAAGCUCAUUUUUAUCUAAAUGGUGAAGUGAAUAAUUGGAAUGUGCGCUUCUAGUGUACAAAGAAUCAGUUGAUAAUACUUGAGAAACAUCUAAACCUCCGCCAAGUUGACUGUUUGGUUGGGCGUGGCUAAAUUCGGUAUAGUGGGACCAUGUGUGUUUAAUGAAACAGUAACAGUGAGGGGUAAGGCAAAAUGUUAAACGAGUUUCUUGUUCCGAACUAAAAGACAGACGCGACGUAAUAGAGUUACUUACUUCCUUCCAACAUGUUGGAACUACCAGGGAUGUACACAUAUGUUUAGCGCGUGAGCACUUCAGUCAUCAAAUAAUUUUGUUAUGGUCGACGUGUUGAACCAGAAAUUUAAUGGCCACCUUGAUCCCCUGACUUUUCAGCCUGCGAUUUUUUUUAUGGAGUUAUUCCAAGUCAAAAGUGUAUCGAGAUAAAUCUAGGACUCUGAAACAGCUUCUAGGUUCACGAGUCGCAACUGAUUGGAAGAGAAGUGUUCAAUAAUUUGAAAAAAUGUUCGGUUGAAUGUGUCAAAAAUGAAGGAAAAUAUCUCGAUGGAAAAAUUUUUAAAACUUCAUUUUUAAUGAAAACUCAAAUAUACGGUCUAAAAACGGCAUAUUUCUACUUCAUUUUGGUUGUAAAAGAAUUUUUGUAAACAUUUUUCUCUCAGAGUAAUAAAAAAAACAAAUGUGAAAGGUUAUUCUGGAACACCCUGUAGAUAGUUCAACUCUAGACGAGAUGAAGGAAUAUUGGCCGAGUAAGAGGAAGGAUUUCAGCAAUUCAGCUUUUUGGAAACAUGAGUGGGAGAAACACGGCGUUCAUUCCUUGCAAAUUAAUUCAAUAAUGUCUCAAUCGGAGUAUUUUAAACAAACAUUACAGCUGUAUAAAGGAUACGAUGUAAAUGAAGCAUUGGCAAAGUGUAACAUCCAUCCAGAUGACUCAAAGUCUUACAAGAGCGCCGAUUUCUUCAAAUGUUUCCAGGAUCAAUUCAGUAUUCGUCCGCAGUUGUCUUGCAAAGAAAUUGUCACAAAUAAUGCUGAUACAAGGAUCUUAGAGGAGGUGCGAUUGUGUUUCUCUGAGGAUUUAGUUAUAAAAAAUUGUGCAGAUUUUCAAGUU